GUGAGGAAUAUUGGGCAAUGGGCGAAAGCCUGACCCAGCAACGCCGCGUGAAGGAAGACGGUUUUCGGAUUGUAAACUUCUUUUAAGAGGGACGAUAAUGACGGUACCUCUUGAAUAAGCCACGGCUAACUACGUGCCAGCAGCCGCGGUAAUACGUAGGUGGCAAGCGUUGUCCGGAUUUACUGGGUGUAAAGGGCGAGUAGGCGGACCUGCAAGUCAGAUGUGAAAUCCCCGGGCUUAACCCGGGAACUGCAUUUGAAACUGCAGGCCUUGAGUGAUGGAGAGGCAGGCGGAAUUCCCGGUGUAGCGGUGGAAUGCGUAGAUAUCGGGAGGAACACCAGUGGCGAAGGCGGCCUGCUGGACAUUAACUGACGCUGAGGAGCGAAAGCGUGGGGAGCAAACAGGAUUAGAAACCCUAGUAGUCC
rnacentral:rRNA from 1 species